GAUGAAGAACGUAGCGAAAUGCGAUACUUGGUGUGAAUUGCAGAAUCCCGUGAAUCAUCGAGUCUUUGAACGCAAGUUGCGCCCGAAGCCUUUUGGCCGAGGGCACGUCUGCCUGGGUGUCACGCAACGUCGCCGCCAGCACACCCUUCCCUUAGGGGAUCGGGAUGUAGCUGGGGGCGGAUUUUGGCCUCCCGUGCGCCUCAGCGCGCGCGGUUGGCCUAAAUUUCAGCUCACGGCGAGGAUCGCCACGACAAGCGGUGGUUUUUUGAACUAAGGACCUCGGGUGUUGUCGUGCGGCCUCGCGGAGAGAAGGAACACUCGUGCGCUAGCGCACACUCUUAACGAGACCCCAGGUCAGUCGGGAACACCCGCUGAAUUUAAGCAUAUCAAUAAGCGGAGGA
rnacentral:misc_RNA from 1 species